AACGAACGCUGGCGGCGCGCUUAACACAUGCAAGUCGAACGAGAAGGCGUAGCAAUACGCUUGUACAGUGGCGAACGGGUGAGGAAUACAUGGGUAACCUACCCUCGAGUGGGGGAUAACCCGCCGAAAGGCGGGCUAAUACCGCGUACGCUUCCGAUCUUGCGGGAUUGGAAGGAAAGCUGUCCCUUGGGGAUGGCGCUCAAGGAUGGGCUCAUGUCCUAUCAGCUUGUUGGAGGGUAACGGCCUACCAAGGCAUCGACGGGUAGCUGGUCUGAGAGGACGAUCAGCCACACUGGCACUGCGACACGGGCCAGACUCCUACGGGAGGCAGCAGUGAGGAAUAUUGCGCAAUGGGCGAAAGCCUGACGCAGCGACGCCGCGUGGGGGAUGAAGGUCUUCGGAUUGUAAACCCCUUUCGGGAGGGAAGACGGCCUUAGACAACUAAGGCGGACGGUACCUCCAGAAGCAGCCACGGCUAACUUCGUGCCAGCAGCCGCCGUAAC
rnacentral:rRNA from 1 species